rnacentral:rRNA from 1 species
UACGGGGGGGGCAAGCGUUGUUCGGAAUUACUGGGCGUAAAGGGCUCGUAGGUGGCCAACUAAGUCAGACGUGAAAUCCCUCGGCUUAACCGGGGAACUGCGUCUGAUACUGGAUGGCUUGAGUUUGGGAGAGGGACGCGGAAUUCCAGGUGUAGCGGUGAAAUGCGUAGAUAUCUGGAGGAAUACCGGUGGCGAAGGCGGCAUCCUGGACCGGCAUUGACGCUGAGGAGCGAAAGCCAGGGGAGCAAACGGG